rnacentral:rRNA from 1 species
CCUACGGGUGGCAGCAGUCGAGAAUCAUUCACAAUGGGCGAAAGCCUGAUGGUGUGACGCCGCGUGGAGGAUGAAGGUCUUCGGAUUGUAAACUCCUGUCAUUCAUGAGCUAUUAAUGGAAGAGGAAGAGACGGCUAACUCUGUGCCAGCAGCCGCGGUAAUACAGAGGUCUCAAGCGUUGUUCGGAAUCACUGGGCGUAAAGGGUGCGUAGGCGGAACGCCAAGUCAGAUGUGAAAGACCGGGGCUCAACCCCGGAACGGCAUCCGAUACUGGCGAUCUAGAGGGCUCGAGGGGAGUGUGGAAUUCACGGUGUAGCAGUGAAAUGCGUAGAUAUCGUGAGGAACACCAGUGGCGAAGGCGACACUCUGGAGGCACUGACGCUGAGGCACGAAGGCCAGGGGAGCGAACGGGAUUAGAUACCCUUGUAGUC